rnacentral:lncRNA from 10 species
AAAGAAGCCAUCUCUGCAACAUUAAAGUGCAAGGUGAAGCAGCAAGUGCUAAUGCAGAAGCUACAGCAAGUUAUCCAGAAGAGCUAGCUAAGAACAUUGAUGAAGGUGGCCACACUAAGUGAUAUGGUUUGACUGUGCCCCACUCAAAUCUCAUCUUGAAUUGUAGCUUCCACAAUUCCCAUGUGUUGUGGGAGGGACCCGUGGGAGGUAAUUGAAUCAUGUGGAUGGGUCUUUCCUGUGCUGUUCUCAUGGUAGUGAAUAAGUCUCAAGAGAUCUGGUGGGUUUAUAAGGGGAAACCUCUUUUGCUUGUCUCUCAUUUUCUCUCUUCCCUGCAGCCAUGUAAGAUAUGCCUUUCACCUUCUGCUAUGAUUGUUAGGCCUCCCCAGCCACGUGGAACUACAUUGCUCCAGCCAACCCAGCCUUCAGCAACCACCACCCUGAAGUCAGCAGCCAUCGAGGUGAGACCCUCCACCAGAAAAAAUAUAAUGACUCACUGAUGGCUCAGAUAAUUGUUAGAGGUUUUUGAGCAAAAAACGUAUUUUUAAAUUAAGUAAAAUGGAUUAAAGUGAGUCAGCAAAAGGGAGAAAGAAGGAGGGGAAGUUAAGGACUUCUUCAAAAUCUACCUCAUCAUUUUGGAGCUCUUAGUCCUCAAUUCCAUCAAACACAGUGGUGCGAAGGACAUCUUCCAAAUGGCAGCUCAUUUUACCUUAAUAGUUGGUGUUUCCAGGUAAGUUUCUAGCUUUCUAUCAUGAUAAGUUAAUAUAUCCUAUUUUAUUAUGGUGCCACAAACAAAAGAACUCUGAAAGGCUCAACUCUUACAAAAGGUCCAAAUCCCCUGAAAAGCAUCAAGUAUCAAAAUGCAGCCAGAAAAGAUGGUAUUAAAUGAAAAAAAGGGGCUCCCUUUUAAUGAAGUCGAGGUGUAGGACAGAUUUAUUAGCUUCCAUUUUUCCAAGUUGCAUUCUGGUGUAUUUCCUGCCUAUAUUUCUAAGUUCAGCAGGUCUCUUUGUAGGAUUACUUUUUAAAAAUACAAUGUUUCAAAGAAUAUGAUGCAGCUAUAUCCACUACACCUGCAGAGACACACCUGUGAUGAUACACUGUUUCUCCAAUUCACAAGGCAAUGCUCUAACAGAAAACAGACCUUCUGCAUGAUAUGCCAAGAUCCUGCCAUUCUUGAAAAUAACCGAUACUCAUAAGCUGAUAUUAUAAAUGGUCUUAAAAAUAAUAACCAAGAAUUAUCCCUGGGCUAAAUAGUCAUUAAAUUCAGUGUAACUGUCUAUACUUUAGUGUUAUAAUUCCUUUUUCCGAUAUGAGAUAGUGAAACAAAUAAUUAAAAUUAAGUAGAUACUUUUGAUGUUGUAACACAGAUGCCUGCAAUAUUCCUAUUUGGGCUCAAUUAUUCUUAUGCAUACCAUUAUUUACUGAUUUUUUACUGUGUGCUGGGCACUAUACUUGAUUCUUGAUGGAGGAAAGCUAAUAAUAAAAUAAAUCUCCUUUCCUUAGAGAAUUUCUAUUCUGAUUAUCUGACUGAACCUGUGAAUGAAUAAUUAGUGCACUAAACUCCUAGUAAAAGUACCAAGAUCAAGGGGGAAAAAAAAAGUAGGAAGAGAGAAUUGUCUCUGCCUACGGGGGCUGGAGAAAGGAACACAUUUGAAAGGAACCUGAAGGGUAAGUCGUAUUUCCAAGGAAAAAGGAGAUGGCAUUCCAGACUGAAAGAACAAUAUAAAGAAAGGCCCAAAGCAAGUGAGUAGGUGACUGUUCUAAAAUCAGGACUGGAUUAUCUGAUGGGAUGACCAGAGAUGUACUGUCCAAGAUACCAGUUGCUAGACAUGUGCCUAUUUAAAUUAACAUUACAUAUAAUUAGAAAUUCAGUUCUCAGUUGAAUUUGAAGUACUUAAUAAUCCCAUGUUUCUAGAGUCCAUCACAUCAGACAACACAGAGUAUUCCUUUCCUCACUGCAAAGUUCUACUGAACAGUGCUGAGUAUGAGAGUAUAGGGUAAGCAUGGUGCUGUCUCAUGGAGCCUCAACUCUAUCUUCAACAGUUUAAUCUUUAGUCUAAAUAAAAGUGGUUUAUAAACCACUAUAUUCUAUGAAAUCCCUUUAGGAAUUGCCGUGGGGGACUCCACCUUGGCAGCAUUGCGAUAACCUGCUUUACCCCCUCCAGCUUCUACGUUUCAGUGAAACACCGCUUUUGAAGAAAGAAUUCUGCCAAAUUUUUUUUUUUUUAAGGCUCAAAACCCACUGUUUUUUAAGCAGGAAUGUGAUAGAUUUGGGUUUUAGGAAUAUUAUCUCUCAGAGCAGUGUACAAGAUACGUGGCAAGAAGAGACUGGGCAGACCAAGAUCAGCAUAGGCUAAUGGUGACAUGAUAAAGGACUGUAUUCAGUGAAGCCUCCAAAGAAAUGCACAGUUAAGAAUUUGUACCAGUAAAUUUAUUCCAAGUAAGACUUGUGUGCACACACCA